rnacentral:lncRNA from 10 species
CAGGCAUUCAGGGAACAUUUAUUAUUAAACUGCAGUAUGAAAGUUUUAGGUUAGCAAAGGGGAAAGGUGUUGUCAAACAUAAGGAGGAGAUCUGUCUAGAGUGACUGUAUCGACUGUAUCUUCCUGGGACACCUUUUUUUUUUUUCUUGAGACAGGGUCACACUCUCUCACCCAGACUGGAGUGCAGUGGCGGAAUAUCAACUCACCACAACCUCUGCCUCCCAGGCUCAAGCAAUUCUCCUGCCUCAGCCUCCUAAGUUGCUGGGAUUACAGGCGCGUGCCACCACCCCCAGCUAAUUUUUUAUUUUUAGUAGAGACAGGAUUUCGCCACGUUGACCAGGCUGGUCUCGAACUCCAGACCUCAAAUGAUCCACCUGCCUUGGCCUCUCGAAGUGCUGGGAUUGCAGGCAUGAGCCACCACGCCUGGCCUUCCUGGGACACCUUUACAGUGGGAAGCAAACAUUCACCAGAGCUGGGAGAAAAAAGCAUGCAAGAAUUGGAAUGAAGAGAUGCACUGGGCUGCUUCUGGACAAGCUGUCUGUCUAGGCAAGAGUCAGCAAAGUGGAUUGCCUUGCAUCAUGGCCAGGGUGUGUGCAUUCAACUUUGGCAGUCUUGGCCUGAGUGACAGAAUACUGGAAGGUCCUAAUAAGCUUCUCCAAUGAGCAUAGGCAGUGAUGGAACCAAACCAUCAAAAUGAGCUCUUCAAAGAAGAACCCAGGUUUUCCUCUUCAGCUGCAUAUGAUCAAUUCUAAUUAAAUGGUAAAGGAAAGAAGAAUAGAAGGAAAGAAUUCUUGAAAAUCUGGUAACUAACAUGGAAGCUGUGCUUUAUAUCAGGUUAUGUGAGUAAUCUUGAUCUGUCUACAAGCUCAAAGUUUCUAUCCAAAUAUAUUUAUCUGGAUCCGAGGCAGGAUCACUGCCAGGCUCUGUCACCUGCUCAGGAGAGUCACCUACCCAGUAUACAAGGGGAUAACCACAGGGCACACCGAAGCCAUUGCAGAACUUCCCAAGCUUGGGUCAGGCCUCCUGACUCUACACACGCACGUGUACUCCACCCAUUCCCAGCCUCCCAGCUUUCUUGACAAGUACCCAAGGAGGAUGGUUCUUGUCAACUCAUUGAUAAGGUCAUGGUAUUGUGGAG